CGGGUAGCCGGCCUGAGAGGGUGAUCGGCCACACUGGGACUGAGACACGGCCCAGACUCCUACGGGAGGCAGCAGUGGGGAAUAUUGCACAAUGGGCGGAAGCCUGAUGCAGCGACGCCGCGUGGGGGAUGACGGUCUUCGGAUUGUAAACCCCUUUCAGUAGGGACGAAGCGAGAGUGACGGUACCUGCAGAAGAAGCACCGGCCAACUACGUGCCAGCAGCCGCGGUAAUACGUAGGGUGCGAGCGUUGUCCGGAAUUACUGGGCGUAAAGAGCUCGUAGGCGGUUUGUCACGUCGUCUGUGAAAUCCUCCAGCUCAACUGGGGGCGUGCAGGCGAUACGGGCUGACUUGAGUACUACAGGGGAGACUGGAAUUCCUGGUGUAGCGGUGAAAUGCGCAGAUAUCAGGAGGAACACCGGUGGCGAAGGCGGGUCUCUGGGUAGUAACUGACGCUGAGGAGCGAAAGCAUGGGGAGCAAACAGGAUUAGAUACCCUGGUAGUCCAUGCCGUAAACGGUGGGCGCUAGGUGUGGGGUCCUUCCACGGAUUCCGUGCCGUAGCUAACGCAUUAAGCGCCCCGCCUGGGGAGUACGG
rnacentral:rRNA from 1 species